rnacentral:rRNA from 2 species
UUAAGCGACUAAGCGUACACGGUGGAUGCCCUGGCAGUCAGAGGCGAUGAAGGACGUGCUAAUCUGCGAUAAGCGUCGGUAAGGUGAUAUGAACCGUUAUAACCGGCGAUUUCCGAAUGGGGAAACCCAGUGUGAUUCGUCACACUAUCAUUAACUGAAUCCAUAGGUUAAUGAGGCGAACCGGGGGAACUGAAACAUCUAAGUACCCCGAGGAAAAGAAAUCAACCGAGAUUCCCCCAGUAGCGGCGAGCGAACGGGGAGGAGCCCAGAGCCUGAAUCAGUGUGUGUGUUAGUGGAAGCGUCUGGAAAGGCGCGCGAUACAGGGUGACAGCCCCGUACACAAAAAUGCACAUGCUGUGAGCUCGAUGAGUAGGGCGGGACACGUGGUAUCCUGUCUGAAUAUGGGGGGACCAUCCUCCAAGGCUAAAUACUCCUGACUGACCGAUAGUGAACCAGUACCGUGAGGGAAAGGCGAAAAGAACCCCGGCGAGGGGAGUGAAAAAGAACCUGAAACCGUGUACGUACAAGCAGUGGGAGCACGCUUAGGCGUGUGACUGCGUACCUUUUGUAUAAUGGGUCAGCGACUUAUAUUCUGUAGCAAGGUUAACCGAAUAGGGGAGCCGAAGGGAAACCGAGUCUUAACUGGGCGUUAAGUUGCAGGGUAUAGACCCGAAACCCGGUGAUCUAGCCAUGGGCAGGUUGAAGGUUGGGUAACACUAACUGGAGGACCGAACCGACUAAUGUUGAAAAAUUAGCGGAUGACUUGUGGCUGGGGGUGAAAGGCCAAUCAAACCGGGAGAUAGCUGGUUCUCCCCGAAAGCUAUUUAGGUAGCGCCUCGUGAAUUCAUCUCCGGGGGUAGAGCACUGUUUCGGCAAGGGGGUCAUCCCGACUUACCAACCCGAUGCAAACUGCGAAUACCGGAGAAUGUUAUCACGGGAGACACACGGCGGGUGCUAACGUCCGUCGUGAAGAGGGAAACAACCCAGACCGCCAGCUAAGGUCCCAAAGUCAUGGUUAAGUGGGAAACGAUGUGGGAAGGCCCAGACAGCCAGGAUGUUGGCUUAGAAGCAGCCAUCAUUUAAAGAAAGCGUAAUAGCUCACUGGUCGAGUCGGCCUGCGCGGAAGAUGUAACGGGGCUAAACCAUGCACCGAAGCUGCGGCAGCGACGCUGAUGCGUUGUUGGGUAGGGGAGCGUUCUGUAAGCCUGUGAAGGUGUGCUGUGAGGCAUGCUGGAGGUAUCAGAAGUGCGAAUGCUGACAUAAGUAACGAUAAAGCGGGUGAAAAGCCCGCUCGCCGGAAGACCAAGGGUUCCUGUCCAACGUUAAUCGGGGCAGGGUGAGUCGACCCCUAAGGCGAGGCCGAAAGGCGUAGUCGAUGGGAAACAGGUUAAUAUUCCUGUACUUGGUGUUACUGCGAAGGGGGGACGGAGAAGGCUAUGUUGGCCGGGCGACGGUUGUCCCGGUUUAAGCGUGUAGGCUGGUUUUCCAGGCAAAUCCGGAAAACUAAGGCUGAGGCGUGAUGACGAGGCACUACGGUGCUGAAGCAACAAAUGCCCUGCUUCCAGGAAAAGCCUCUAAGCAUCAGGUAACAUCAAAUCGUACCCCAAACCGACACAGGUGGUCAGGUAGAGAAUACCAAGGCGCUUGAGAGAACUCGGGUGAAGGAACUAGGCAAAAUGGUGCCGUAACUUCGGGAGAAGGCACGCUGAUAUGUAGGUGAAGUCCCUCGCGGAUGGAGCUGAAAUCAGUCGAAGAUACCAGCUGGCUGCAACUGUUUAUUAAAAACACAGCACUGUGCAAACACGAAAGUGGACGUAUACGGUGUGACGCCUGCCCGGUGCCGGAAGGUUAAUUGAUGGGGUCAGCGCAAGCGAAGCUCUUGAUCGAAGCCCCGGUAAACGGCGGCCGUAACUAUAACGGUCCUAAGGUAGCGAAAUUCCUUGUCGGGUAAGUUCCGACCUGCACGAAUGGCGUAAUGAUGGCCAGGCUGUCUCCACCCGAGACUCAGUGAAAUUGAACUCGCUGUGAAGAUGCAGUGUACCCGCGGCAAGACGGAAAGACCCCGUGAACCUUUACUAUAGCUUGACACUGAACAUUGAGCCUUGAUGUGUAGGAUAGGUGGGAGGCUUUGAAGUGUGGACGCCAGUCUGCAUGGAGCCGACCUUGAAAUACCACCCUUUAAUGUUUGAUGUUCUAACGUUGACCCGUAAUCCGGGUUGCGGACAGUGUCUGGUGGGUAGUUUGACUGGGGCGGUCUCCUCCUAAAGAGUAACGGAGGAGCACGAAGGUUGGCUAAUCCUGGUCGGACAUCAGGAGGUUAGUGCAAUGGCAUAAGCCAGCUUGACUGCGAGCGUGACGGCGCGAGCAGGUGCGAAAGCAGGUCAUAGUGAUCCGGUGGUUCUGAAUGGAAGGGCCAUCGCUCAACGGAUAAAAGGUACUCCGGGGAUAACAGGCUGAUACCGCCCAAGAGUUCAUAUCGACGGCGGUGUUUGGCACCUCGAUGUCGGCUCAUCACAUCCUGGGGCUGAAGUAGGUCCCAAGGGUAUGGCUGUUCGCCAUUUAAAGUGGUACGCGAGCUGGGUUUAGAACGUCGUGAGACAGUUCGGUCCCUAUCUGCCGUGGGCGCUGGAGAACUGAGGGGGGCUGCUCCUAGUACGAGAGGACCGGAGUGGACGCAUCACUGGUGUUCGGGUUGUCAUGCCAAUGGCACUGCCCGGUAGCUAAAUGCGGAAGAGAUAAGUGCUGAAAGCAUCUAAGCACGAAACUUGCCCCGAGAUGAGUUCUCCCUGACUCCUUGAGAGUCCUGAAGGAACGUUGAAGACGACGACGUUGAUAGGCCGGGUGUGUAAGCGCAGCGAUGCGUUGAGCUAACCGGUACUAAUGAACCGUGAGGCUUAACCU